GUUUGCCUUUUAACUUCCUGGUGGGUGUAUUGAAACAUACAAUGGAAACAUCUUAAAGUAAGUUAUAUUUUGAUUAUGUGACUGAUUGUCAUAUAAUGGGCUAUCAACUAUUGGACUUUGAUUUCGAAAUGUCAGAACUAACAACAAUUUAAUUAAUAUAUCGGCUGAUGCAUCUGAUUUGACAGACGGUAAAACUAAAAAUAAGUUCGAAGGUUUCAAACCUUUGUUUUCAUAGAUAUUUUGUGUAAAGUGCUACAGUAACUCAACUUUGAUAACAUUAUAUAUUAAUUCAAGAGACUUGUUUCGAGCGCUUAGAAUUAGCAAUAGUUGGCAGAGUCGUUUCAUAAAUACAUAAACAUUAUUAUGCUUAGAAAUUCGUGUUUUUAGUCAAUAUACAAAUUCAAGUUCUUUUGACUUAAACCAGUUAUAUUCAUGGAACAAUUUAUACUGAAGGAUAAUUGGAAUAAGUUUGUAAACUCCAACAUGUGUUCAACAUGACAUAUUCAAUGGGAGAUAACUCUGCUCCGUUACCACCCAGCAAACAGUAUGAAACACAUUGUAUUCAGUACAUUUCCGUACUUUCGCUUUAUUAGAAUUCCAACCGAACAUGCAAUAAAUAUGCGUGACGUCACAAUUAAACUUACAAUGCUAUUUACAUUAUGAAUGACACCGAAGAUCAAGAUAGACAUUUCAAUAAGGGUUCUGCGAUAGCAAAUUCAAUUAAAUCUUUUGAAGAGUUAGUCUAUGUGAAUUUCUAUAUUUUAUAAACACAAUUGUUUUCGCAAUUUAAAUAUGUUGAGAUCACAUAAACCUUUGGUUUAAAAAAAUAUUCUUAAAUCAACCCUUACGUUAUUACAAGUACGUGCAGUCUGUUUUUGGUACGUGCAGUCUGUUUUUGGCACUUACUUUUAUUCUGUAUACAAAUAUAUGAAGAUAAGAAAUUACAAAAUAUUUCAGUUGAUAUAAAUUCACAUAUUUUCUAUUUACUAUUCUUUUUGGAAUAUGAAUACUUUUAAUAUGGAAUACAAUUCGUAAUAACUAUUAAAAACACAUUCGUUAUAAUGAAUGUCACUUACUUUGCUAUUGCAUCCCCAAUAAGUUAAAUAUAAACAUUUUAUCAAUGGAAACUUGUCAGUAUGUCCUCCUGCAAAAAUGUCAAUUUGCCAAUAAAGGAGUAGGUCCGAAAAGGGCCGAUUUUGGCCUCAAAUUUAAGGUUCAUCUAACGAAAGAUUUUGGACAUUUUUUAAACACUAAAGUGUCUAUUUCAAUUGAUUCAAUUAGUUUAUGUAAACGAUUUUAACUGAUUUAGUCAUUAAAAACGCUCCGAUUCAAGCUUAAAUAUGAAAAAUCUAUCCAAUAUAUGCAAAAAAAAAACGUCAUUUUUCAGAAGGAUUUUGUCAAAAUUGAAAGUGGCCGCAUCCGUGUUCAUCCUCAACCUUUUAUAUAUGGUAUGAAAUAUCAUCAAAUACAACUUACAUUUCAAUAUUAUGAAUAAACACGAAUGCGGCCAUUUUCAUUUAAGACGGAAACCGUCUAAAAUUUAACUAAAAUGCUAAAAUUGUGAAGAUUUUAGUUAUUUAGCAUGACUUAAUGAUGCUAGUACCCGAUAUAUGGGCAUUGUAUUCUCAAAAACAGCCCAUAUUUAUGUAGCAGAAACAUUCUACUGUCCAAUAAAUAACUAAAAUUUUACAUUUUAACAAUUUUGUAAAACUGCUAUAUUUUCGGGCCAAAAAGGGGUCUUACUCCUUUCACCGAUUGAACUAAUCAACCUCUUUUGACUUUCAAACAAAUAUUAUCCAAAAAAAAUUGAGUAGGUAUACAAAUAAGAAUAUAGAAAUUUAUCUCAAAAAUAAUUGGUUAAUUCGACAUGAUGUUUACUUCAACCCUCUUUUUCUGUUUUACACAAGCCAUUUGAUCACCGCAAAAUAAAUGAUUGAUGUAAGAAGUAAUUCUUCCUUUCUCAUUGUUUCUGUAAAAAUGCAACAAAAAUAAACCAACAAUGAAAAUCCACGUUUUUGUUAAUUGUUUCAGUUCUGUUCAGCAUGUCAACAUCAACACUUUCCUGUCGUGUUUGCGAACUUCGUCAUAUUACCAAAUCCUCAAUAAUCUGGUGUAGUGAAUGUGAUGAAGGGUUGUGUACAGAAUGUCAAGAUCAUCAUAGCUUGUCUAAAUCUUCAAGAAAUCAUACCACUAUACCAAUUACCCAUUACCAACAAUUACCUUCUGAUGUAUUAAAGAUAAGCAUGUACUGUGAAAAACACAAUGAGCAAUUUCAAAUAUAUUGCAAGAAUCACCAGACCCCUUGCUGUAGUAUUUGUGUUGUUGAAAGUCACAGCGAAUGCCGAGAGUUCACAAAAUUAAGUGAAGCUAUUCUCAACGUCAAGACAUCAAACGCUUUUUUGGAAAUCGAACACACUUUAGCUGAAGUGUCAGAUAAUAUCACAAAAAUUCGUGAAAACCGACAGGAAAACAUGAAACAGAUUUCAGAGAAGAGAAAGCAAAUUGAACAGGAAAUAGAACAGACCAGGAUUACUAUUAACAACCAUCUUGACAAAUUACAAGAGGAAAUAAGAAAGGAACUAUGUGAGAUUGAAGAAAAAGAAAACAAGGAGAUUAGUCAGUUUAUAUCAUUAUUGGAAGAUAAAGAAAAUGAGAUAACUCAAUGCCAGACAAACAUUUUAAGCAUAAAACAAAAUGCUUCCGACCUGCAGGCGUUUCUAGUCAUGAAGAAGCUAGAAAGGGACGUUUCCCUCAAAGACGAAUUUGUGAAGUCACUGUUCAGUACAGAUACAUUAAAACAACAUUUUUUGAUGUAUCAAGUUAAUAGUGCAUUACAAAAUUUCCUAUCCGACUCACAAACGUUUGGAAAACUUGUUAUUGAAGCAGAACCGCUUGACGUUGUCCUGACUAGGACUAAGGGCAAACAGGCGCAGAUAUCGGUACCCGACCUACAUACCAAGUCAAUUGAAGAUAUUAGCCUGAAGCUUCUAAAAUCAAUAACUGGUUUAGGUUAUAACAUCUUUGGUUGUUGUAUGUUACCAGAUGGUAAAAUGGCAUUUGCAAAUUAUAGCAAACGUAUUAAAAUCAUCAACAAUGACGGGUCUCAAAAUUGUGACUUUAGAACACCUGAUUGUGCGUUUGAUUUGGCGUAUAUCGCUGAGAACGAAACAUUUGCUGUAUCGGGUGGUUUUUCUGGUAAACACAAUAUCACCAUUAUUAACAUGAAAGAAAAACAAGUAAAGAAAACGAUACUCAUUGAAUCGGUUGCCUAUGGUUUAGCAAAACAAGAUCAAGAUCCUGAACUACUUCUCCUUAGAAGUGAAAUCGGAAUACAAAUGGUCAAUGUACAAAACGAAACUGUACAUACAGUAGUUGCAGACAAAAUGUCUGGUGGCAGUUGUUAUGUUGCAAUAUUUGAAGACAAUAUUUAUCACACAAAAAGCCAGUCAAACACCGUGACAUGUUAUAAUCUACAAGGUAAAACACAAUGGACAUUCAAGAACGACUCCGUGCUGAAGUUUCCAGUCGGUAUCUCUGUAGACAAUAGUGGAAACGCUUUUGUAAUAGGAAACAUAAGUAAUAAUGUAGUAGUUAUUUCUCAUGACGGAAAACAAUACCGACAAUUACUUUCCUCCGAGGAUGGACUUUCUAGCCCACGUUCUCUGUAUUAUCAUCGAUCAACAAAUCAGCUACUUGUUGCAAAUCUAAAUAAAACAGCAUUUGUUUUCACAUUGAUUUGAAUGAAUAGAUGUAGUCAUCGGGAGUCUGACAGUUCAUUUUAGAACAAAAUAUUGCUUAGAUAUAGAUUGAUAUCAGUUUGAUUAAAAAUAGUACUAGUAUUCAGCAAUCAAUUUAACAAAUUGUAAAGUAUUUUAAAUUACCACGGAAGGAAAAACUAAUUGCAAUUACAAAUGUAUCGCCAAUCAAUUCUAUUGCCUUACUUUACUCGUCGAUCAGCUGUAUUUGGCAAAACUUUUAGGAAUUCUGGUCCUCUAAUGUAUACUCCAUAUUGUAAAAGAAAGUGUAUGGUUUAACUCUUUUAAUUCACUGUGUAUACAAACUGAUAUUUGGAUUAACAAGAAACUGCAGUCAUAAUUUAAUUCAUAGCUAAGUGCAAAA
rnacentral:lncRNA from 1 species